AGCUCACAUCAGUUCAGCUUCAACAUCAACAUGUUCUCUGUAGCUCUGAUACUGCUGCUGGCUGCUGGAUCCUGUGUGAACAGUAUUGAUCUCAUCCAGACAGACUCAAUGGUUGUGCAGCCUGGACAGUCUCUGACCAUCAGCUGUCAGGUCUCUGGUUAUUCUUUGACUGAUGACAGCUAUGCAACAGGUUGGAUCAGACAGAGUGAAGGAAAACCAAUGGACUGGAUUUGCCAUCGGUCGGGUGGAGGAGGCUUUUACCAAAAUAAUGCUCUGAAGAACAAGUUCCUUUACCACACACUCACGUCUACUAGCUCGGUGACAUUAACCGGACAGAAUCUGCAGCCUGAGGACACAGCUGUGUAUUACUGUGUGCGUGUAAGCGACACAGUGAUGCAAACCACCAACAGACCUGCACAAAUACCCAGCAACCAGCAUGUGACUCAAACAUAA